AGCAGUCGCCACGGGAAUACAGAGGGUGCGAGCGUUAAUCGGAUUUACUGGGCGUAAAGCGUGCGUAGGCGGCUUUUUAAGUCGGAUGUGAAAUCCCUGAGCUUAACUUAGGAAUUGCAUUCGAUACUGGGAAGCUAGAGUAUGGGAGAGGAUGGUAGAAUUCCAGGUGUAGCGGUGAAAUGCGUAGAGAUCUGGAGGAAUACCGAUGGCGAAGGCAGCCAUCUGGCCUAAUACUGACGCUGAGGUACGAAAGCAUGGGGAGCAAACAGGAUUAGAUACCCCCGUAGUCCCUGUCUCUUAUAA
rnacentral:rRNA from 1 species